rnacentral:rRNA from 1 species
GACGAACGCUGGCGGCGUGCCUAAUACAUGCAAGUCGAACGAGAGCGACCGGUGCUUGCACUGGUCAAUCUAGUGGCGAACGGGUGAGUAACACGUGGGUAACCUGCCCAUCAGAGGGGGAUAACAUCCGGAAACGAAUGCUAAAACCGCAUAGGUCUUCGAACCGCAUGGUUUGAAGAGGAAAAGAGGCGCAAGCUUCUGCUGAUGGAUGGACCCGCGGUGCAUUAGCUAGUUGGUGAGGUAACGGCUCACCAAGGCCGUGAUGCAUAGCCGACCUGAGAGGGUGAUCGGCCACAUUGGGACUGAGACACGGCCCAAACUCCUACGGGAGGCAGCAGUAGGGAAUCUUCCGCAAUGGACGCAAGUCUGACGGAGCAACGCCGCGUGAGUGAAGAAGGUUUUCGGAUCGUAAAACUCUGUUGUUAGAGAAGAACAAGUGCUAGAGUAACUGUUAGCGCCUUGACGGUAU